rnacentral:rRNA from 1 species
AUUGAACGCUGGCGGCAGGCCUAACACAUGCAAGUCGAGCGAGCGGCGGACGGGUGAGUAAUGUAUGGGGACUGCCCGAUCGAGGGGGCUCACUACUGGACAAGGUGCCUAAUAACGCAUACUAACGGAUAACCCAUAGGGGGUUAGCUAGUAGGUGGGGUAAGGGCUCACCUGGGCGACGAACUCUAGCUGGUCCGAGAGGAUGAUUAGCCACACUAGGACUGUGACACGGCCCAGACUCCGACGGAGGAGUCGGUGGGGAGUAGUGCACAAGGGGCGCAGGCCUGAUGCAGCCAUGCCUCGUGUAUGAAGAGGGCCUUAGGUGUGUAAAGUACUUUCAGCGGGGAGGCGUUACCCGCAGAAGAAGCACCGGCUAACUCGGUGCCAGCCGCCGCGGUAAUUC